rnacentral:rRNA from 1 species
UGCUUCCAGGAAAAGCCUCUAAGCAUCAGGUAACAUCAAAUCGUACCCCAAACCGACACAGGUGGUCAGGUAGAGAAUACCAAGGCGCUUGAGAGAACUCGGGUGAAGGAACUAGGCAAAAUGGUGCCGUAACUUCGGGAGAAGGCACGCUGAUAUGUAGGUGAAGCGACUUGCUCGUGGAGCUGAAAUCAGUCGAAGAUACCAGCUGGCUGCAACUGUUUAUUAAAAACACAGCACUGUGCAAACACGAAAGUGGACGUAUACGGUGUGACGCCUGCCCGGUGCCGGAAGGUUAAUUGAUGGGGUUAGCGGUAA